GACGAACGCUGGCGGCGUGCUUAACACAUGCAAGUCGAGCGGCGCGGCGAACGGGUGAGUAACGCGUGCGUAACUGCCCCCCUAUCUGGGAUAACAGUUGGAAACGGCUGCUAAUUCCGGCUCGUGGGGGGGGACUCGCGUCCAAUCAGUUUGUGGGUGGGGUAGGGGCCUACGAAGGCGACGACGGGUAGCCGGCCUGGGCGGGCGACAGGCCACAUUGGGCUGAGAUACGGCCCAAAGUCCUACGGUGGGCAGCAGGGGGGAAUAGUGCACAAUGGGGGAAAGCGUGAUGCAGCAGCGCCGGGGGCGGGAAGACGGCGUUCGGGUGGAAACCCGCUUCCAGCCAAGACGCGGUAGUGGAAGAAGAAGCACCGGCUAACUACGUGCCAGCAGCCGCGGUAAUAC
rnacentral:rRNA from 1 species